rnacentral:lncRNA from 1 species
CGCCCAGCGGCCCUUCCUCGCCGGCCGUCCGGCGCCGUCGACCGGAGCUGCGCAGCCCUCCACAGCGAGGUAGCAUCCGUCCUUACUCCCUCCUUCCUCCUCUUCCUUCCUCCUCUUCCAUCCCUCCAUCCUCCCCUUCCAACGAACUGCUACAGUAGGUUCAUUCAUGUUACUUCUCUUCCUAAAUAGUAUAGAUUAUGGAUGCACUCUUGACAGAUUAGUACAUAUUAUGGAGUCCAUGUUAAUUUGCAUAAACUGAGUACAGAUUGCUUGCUAGUAGGUGGUGUAUUUGGGAUAAAUUGUGUACAGAUUGACUGAUUAGUACAGAUUGCUUGCUAGUACAGGUUGCUUGUGCUUCUGUUGUGAAUGGAGCCUAUGUAGUACCUUUCUGAUAUGAAUUUAGUUGACAUUGAUUGCUUGCUAUGUUCUGCUGUGAAUAAAUUGGAAGAUGUUUACAUAUUGUACAACUGUUAUACAUGGGGCAGGGUAUUAAAAUUAUUUCGUACGCUCGCUUUGGACAGUUCACACAAAGUUUAAGGAAGUCUUGUUAUGUUUGCGCAAGUUAGCGAAAGAUAUCAUCAAACCCAGAGAUCCUACAUUUAGCUAUGAGCAUGAAAAGAUUAGAGAAGAACGUUUCUGGCCUCAUUUCAAAGGCGCUAUUGGUGCCAUAGAUGGAUCUCAUGUGCCAGUGACAGUGCCUGCAGAUGACGUGGUUAACCAUACAUGUCGACAUGGUUUUACAUCUCAGAAUGUGCUUGCAAUAUGUGACUUUGACAUGAGGUUUACCUUUGUGGUUGCGGGUUGGCCGGGGUCUGCACAUGACUCAAGGAUCCUGAAUCAUGCAUUAGCACACUUCUCUUCAUUUACUGUACCUCCCAAAGGUAUAACAUAACAACACAUGUCGUCAUUCAUUAUAUUCUUAUGUGAGAUGCUCACUUGGUGAUUUGGUGUUCAUUUUCAGGGAAAUACUAUCUUGUGGACUCUGGGUAUGCAAACCGAAUAGGAUAUCUUGCUCCUUUUAAGGGGAGUACGUACCAUCUACCAGAAUUCGUCUUCGUCGUCACCGUCCACCUCAAGGGAAGUAUGACUUGUUCAACUUUUCACAUUCGUCCCUCCGCAAUGUCGUUGAGCGUGCUUUUGGGGUGCUCAAGCAGAAAUGGCGCAUAUUGAAAGGGGUCCCAAGUUUCUCACCUCGUAUGCAAAAGCAUAUCAUCAUUGCUUGCAUGGCAUUGCACAACUUCAUUCGUGAUAGCAAGUUGAGUGAUAAAUUUUUUGAUAAAUGUGAUGCCGAUGAUGAGUAUGUACCUCCAGUGCUACGACGGGAAGUAGCACCAACACAAGCGGAUCCCGUUGAAGAGGAGGAGAACGAAGAUACCAUGGAUACUAUUCGUAGUAGGAUAGCCGAUGCUUGUCUUGCGAUAGCAACAUAGGUUAGCUAUCUUGAUGGAGGUCAUCAUCAUGCGAACCAUAUGUAUAUUCUAUGGUGCAUGCCUUUUGUAAUAUAAUUAUGGGGUCAAUAUCUAUAUAUAUAUAAUAUAGUAUGCAACUUGAAAGUAUAAUCGUUGAAUUCGUAUGUGUUAGCUGUGAAUCAUCUAAAUUGUCAUUAUUUUCCUUUGCAAAACGGUCGUUCUAUUGCCUACCAAUGUAUAUAUCACUAUUUUACGGUUAAGUUGCACAUAAAAAUAUUGAAUUAUUGUCCAGGGUCAUUAUAGACAAUUCACAGUCAAAUCUGCAGUUUCACAGCUGUUUCAGCCAAACGACUUCCAGCUUUUCCACAGCUCAGAGCUCACAGCAGCUUUUACAAAAUCUGCAGCUCAACCAAACACAGCUAAGAGUGAUAGAUUACGAAUUACAUAGUCUGGUUUGUUCAUAUGAGUGUUAACUCCUAAGGUUUUUAAAAAGGUAUAACAUAACAACACAUGUCGUCAUUCAUUAUAUUCUUAUGUGAGAUGCUCACUUGGUGAUUUGGUGUUCAUUUUCAGGGAAAUACUAUCUUGUGGACUCUGGGUAUGCAAACCGAAUAGGAUAUCUUGCUCCUUUUAAGGGGAGUACGUACCAUCUACCAGAAUUCCGUCUUCGUCGUCACCGUCCACCUCAAGGGAAGUAUGAGUUGUUCAACUUUUCACAUUCGUCCCUCCGCAAUGUCGUUGAGCGUGCUUUUGGGGUGCUCAAGCAGAAAUGGCGCAUAUUGAAA